GAUGAACGCUGGCGGCAUGCCUAACACAUGCAAGUCGAACGAACCCUUCGGGGUUAGUGGCGCACGGGUGCGUAACGCGUGGGAACCUGCCUUUUGGUUCGGAAUAACAGUUAGAAAUGACUGCUAAUACCGGAUAAUGUCUUCGGACCAAAGAUUUAUCGCCAUUAGAUGGGCCCGCGUAGGAUUAGCUAGUUGGUGAG
rnacentral:rRNA from 1 species